UACGUAGGGGGCAAGCGUUAUCCGGAUUUACUGGGUGUAAAGGGUGCGUAGCCGGAAAUGCAAGUCAGAUGUGAAAGCCCGAAGCUCAACUUCGGGACUGCAUUUGAAACUGUAUUUCUAGAGUGCAGGAGAGGAAAGUGGAAUUCCUAGUGUAGCGGUGAAAUGCGUAGAUAUUAGGAGGAACACCAGUGGCGAAGGCGACUUUCUGGACUGUAACUGACGGUGAGGCACGAAAGCGUGGGGAGCAAACAGG
rnacentral:rRNA from 2 species